CUGACCUGUAGCCUUUGUCUUAUGGUGGCUGACCUGUAGCCUUUGUUUCAUGGUGACUUGUGGCUCUGUGGUAUGUGUUCCUAGGAUUUCACGAAAUCCUUCCUACGAGUUACACUACCAGGACAAAGGAUAAAUAAACCAUAGUUGAUCAACUUGGACAGAUUUAGGUAGUCACUCUUGAGUGUAGACUGCCGUUAGAAAAGCUCUUUGGAUGAAGAGGUUAAACUCCCAUUCCAGUGCACAAUUCAAGGUUAAGGCUAGGGUUAGGGUUAGACCAGUCAAAGACAUUGAAACUAUAAAGGAUAAAAGAAACACUUUUCUUAAACGUAGGUGUCCAGCUGUUUAGAUCUCGGAUUAUUGACAUUCUCAUUGAGUGUUCAGAGACAACUUUUUCAUAAAUUUAAAGGAUGUUAAAAGUCAUUUACAUCAACUUUUGGAGAGUCGAUAAACUGUCUACAAAUAUCUAAUAUUAUCCUAAACAAUGAAGAUUUUGAUCAGAAAAUAGUGUUUUAUAGUUGGCAGUGUCCGAGAAUGCCCUUACUGACCUGUUGUUUGUUUAAUCAGAAAUUCGAUAUACGCUUGGAAUACUAUGAAUGACUGUGUACAAUUUUGUAACAAUAAUUUGCUUGUACAUCAUAUUUAAUGAUUUAUCAAUGUAAUCUUAUUUCCUUUCAUGAAGAAAUCAUUAUCUAUUUUCUGUUUAACCUUGUCACUGUAAUGUACAUUUCAAUACAUGUCCUAUUUAUUUGUACUAUAACAAUGUAAUGAAUAAGGAAGAGGUGUUAAAUAAUGGAUACAAACUUGAAUGGCUACUCUCAUGCCUUUAUACUGUUGUACAGUCCCCUUAUUGUAAUGACUUUGUAUAGCCUGACAUCAACUGCUUGGUUGAUUGCAUAGCCAACUUAGUUUUAGAUCACGUGAUUGAUGCUCUGGCCAUGCCGUGUCAAAUUGAGUGGAGCCUGCGGGGGGGGGGGGGGGGG